UUCUUUCGUACGAGUUUGUUUUCAACAAACUCGGGUUAUUAAACGUGUGCGCUCGCUUGAAACGUCGGAGCGAAGCUCCUCGUUGCGAGAAGCGCGCACGGCUAAAAACUCUUUCGGAAAUUGAUAUUUCCUGCAAAAGUUUUUAUUAGGA
rfam:Treponema socranskii subsp. socranskii VPI DR56BR1116 = ATCC 35536 strain VPI DR56BR1116 ctg120007787856, whole genome shotgun sequence.